UCUCCAACCUAACUGCGCCUCUCUUUUCUUUUUUAUUUUUUUUCAAUCGUCAAAUGUGCCUCUCUUUUCUUCUUCCUCUUCUUCCUCUUCUUCUCUUCUCCUCUAUAAUCAGCGAAGAUUUUGGAAGAUUUCUCUCUUUAUUUCGUUGAUUUGUUUUCAAUCGUAUUAUUCAGUCGUAUAAAAGUUAAAUAGAGAAUUGUUGAGUUUCUUUCUCUUCAGAGUUUAUAGGACGAGUAAUACCAAACCCUAACCAUGAAACCCUCAAAAUACACGCACAAUUUUACCUAUUUCAUUACAUUCUAAACCCUUAGUUGUUCAUACUUAGACGUAUCACUAACCUAAUUUUCGUUUUACCUUAUCAAACCCUACUUCCAGUUUAUAUGAUCUCUAUAAAAGUAGAAGAUGUUUACUAGUAAUUGAUGGUUUCCUGACUCUUACGAGGGAUGAGGACACGAGUGGUAUUUUUAUUCAGUUCUGGUAAUUAAAGGGACAUUGUUGAGGAUUUGGUGUUGGUGUGUAGGUGUUGAGGAAGGAUCGAUCAUGUUAUAGAAGUGUUUUUUUGGUGUCUAUGGAGGAUUAGGAGGUGUUGGGGUUGCAAGCGGUGGUGGACUAGCAGAGGUUGCUGGUGGAGGUAGACGCAUAGGUGGCUGAAGUGAUGGUGGCGGGCAUGAAAAGACAUUGUAGAUGCUUGUCUACCAAAGCCUGUUUUAAGAGAGGAUAUGCUGAAGAUAUGAGAUGGUGUUUACAAACCCAAGGCGCACAUGGACACUAAGAAUGAGGAGGAAGUCGAAGGUGAUGAGCUUUAGUUGGCUUCUGCUGAUAUGAUCAGGAUCCUUCCUUCAGCACAGAAGUGUUUGGGCACCGACGGUGUUACCAUGAUAUUUGGCGCUGAUCGAAAGGUUUACAUACGCGGAAUGGGUGCCGGUGUUUCUAAAACGCAAAUCCUUGGGGCAGUGUUUUUGAAGGCCAAUUUGCAGGAAGUGAAGGAUAAUAUGCCGAAAUAGAAGCAAAAAAAUGAAGCUUUAGAAGCACAGAUGCUGAAAGACAGAAAUCCAACACUGGAGUUCAUGAUCAAAUCCCGAAUAGCUCUUAUCAGCAGGAUAUAUUGGAGCUCCAGCAACACCUUUGACGUUUGGUCUCUGCUUUUUGAGGAACUUUAUGAAAAGACCGGUAGCAUCUUCAUAUGUUGAUAGUGCAAAGUUGUUGAUUGAUGACAAUUAUGACUGCAUGAUUGAUGAAAUCAUUGAUCCAAGGGCGGCGUUAUGUGAUAGAUAUGAUGCAGUACUUGGGGAUGUGUCAAGAGAUGACACCAUCAAGUGGCCACAAGCUUAUGUAAUCACUGUAGGAGAGUGACCAAAUUAGAAUGACAAGGUGAAAAGUAGAUUGAAUUCGAUUCUAAUGUUUAACAUGUAGUGUCUAUCUUUUGUUUUGUAUUUGAAGAUUUUAUUUUCUUGGCUGUUAUUUUGGAUAAUUAAUUAAUAAAAGUUGAUUUCAGAUGCAGUUGAAAUUUUAA